GGGUGUCAAGACUUUAAUGGGAGGUGUUGUAUGAAUCUGUCAGAUCAUUCUAAGUCUAUUUAUAGAAGCAUUGCUGAGUUGCAGGCGGCAACUCAGAAGAUCAAAGAAAGCACUGGGUUUUUUGGCUUGGAGAACUGGUUUGGCAGAUGAAGAAUACCUAGCUGGUUAGCUUCACUUUUCAAAACGGGAUGCUUGGAGAUGAAGAGCACAGUCUGAA